rnacentral:rRNA from 1 species
UGGGGAAUAUUGGACAAUGGGCGCAAGCCUGAUCCAGCCAUGCCGCGUGAGUGAUGAAGGCCCUAGGGUUGUAAAGCUCUUUCACCGGUGAAGAUAAUGACGGUAACCGGAGAAGAAGCCCCGGCUAACUUCGUGCCAGCAGCCGCGGUAAUACGAAGGGGGCUAGCGUUGUUCGGAUUUACUGGGCGUAAAGCGCACGUAGGCGGACUAUUAAGUCAGGGGUGAAAUCCCGGGGCUCAAACCCGGAACUGCCUUUGAUACUGGUAGUCUUGAGUUCGAGAGAGGUGAGUGGAAUUCCGAGUGUAGAGGUGAAAUUCGUAGAUAUUCGGAGGAACACCAGUGGCGAAGGCGGCUCACUGGCUCGAUACUGACGCUGAGGUGCGAAAGCGUGGGGAGCAAACAGG